rnacentral:rRNA from 1 species
AUAGCGUAUAUUAAAGUUGUUGCAGUUAAAAAGCUCGUAGUUGAACUUGGAAUGUGGCCGGGCGGUCCGCCUCAUGGGUGUGCACUGUCUGGCCGUGUUCUCUUUCUUGGUGAGCCGGUAUGCUCUUUACUGGGUGUGUCGGGGAACCAGGACGUUUACCUUGAGAAAAUUAGAGUGUUCAAAGCAGGCCUACGCCUGGAUACAUUAGCAUGGCAUAAUAAAAUAGGACGUGCGUUUCUAUUUUGUUGGUUUCUAGAGUCGCCGUAAUGAUUAAUAGGGAUAGUUGGGGGCAUUAGUAUUCCGUUGCUAGAGGUGAAAUUCUUGGAUUUACGGAAGACUAACUUCUG